rnacentral:rRNA from 1 species
GGAAAACUUACCAGGUCCAGACAUAGUGAGGAUUGACAGAUUGAGAGCUCUUUCUUGAUUCUAUGGGAGGUGGUGCAUGUCCGUUCUUAGUUGGUGGAGUGAUUUGUCUGGUUAAUUCCAUUAACGAACGAGACCCCCGCCUGCUAAAUAGGUCCGUGAAUGAAUUUCAUUGACGAGAUAUUCUUAGAGGGACCUUUGGUGACUAACCAAAGGAAGUUGGGGGUAAUAA